rnacentral:lncRNA from 1 species
AGCUGUAGCCACAGCCACAGCCACAGCCACAGCAAUACCAGAUCCAAGCUGUGUCUGUGAUGGCUGCAUCCUUAACCCACUGAGCGAGGCCAGGGAUUGAAUCCAUGUCCUCACAGAUCCUAGUCUGGUUCGUUAACCACAGAGCCACAAAGGGAACUCCAGUAAAUGUCUCUUAAAGAGAUUCAUUCGUUCACCCAACAAAUAGGUACAGAGGGCCUGCUAGGUUCCAGGCAUGGUUGUAGGUUCCAGGGCUAUGAGGAGGGUGAGGGGGAUGAGGAAUCUAGGGCGAAGGAUUUAAGGGUUGUGCAAGGGCAGGGCCAGCACUGGAGAGUGAGCGCCUCCUUAAAUUUUGUGCCCUACAUGCCUCUCUUGUUUCACCCUAGUCCCAGCCCUGCUAAGUGCUGGGGAUACAGCCAUGAACAAAACAGACAGAGACAGAAGGACCCGGGUAAACUCUUCUCCCAGGGUCUUCGUGGGGCUCUGCAUGUUGCCUGUCCUCAAGUCUUUUUGGUUUGUGAAAGCGAAACUUCCAGUCUCGACUGUGAAGUCCUAUGCGGGUCUGUCCCUUCCUCUUCCCGCCCUGCCUCCACCAGCAUUCUGCUUAGGGUGAUGGUUUCCAGAGUCUUGUCCUUGACCAUCUGUGUGGGGCUACCUCGUGGCACCACGGGGGAGCUUCCCAUUAUACCAAUGGAGUCAGGGUCUUUGUGGGUGAAGCUCAGGAAUGUGUACCAAGGUCACUGGGUGGUUGAGGCAGGUUAACAGGUGAGGAUCCUGGGCCCAUCGAUGUGUCCAGUCAGUACUGCUAAAACUGACUCAUGUUAGGAGGAGAGGGGCCUUUGGAUGUGCUUCCAUUUCUUUGUGAGUCUGUUCACAAAGUUGGAAGACACACGUGUGGGAAAGGGAUGGUCUGGAGGAGUGGGUGCUGACCUUGACUCUGACCCUGUGGAGCUCUGCAGGGAGAUCUCUCAGCUCAGCCUCGCACCUUAGCUGGGCUACUCCAGGCCUUGCCCCAUCCUCCUUUGAGCUUUAAUCACCUCCCCAAGGAGCGAGAGGCUGGCAUUGCCAGUAGCUUUGGCAGCUGGCUCAAAAGUUUCCAAGGAGCUGGAGUUGGAAGUGGUGCGUAGGUAGGUCUCUGGGGGGAUGGUCUGAGAGCCCCAGGGCAAAUAAGAAAUGAGAGUCUGUAAAUCUGGUCCUCCCUGACUUCUAAGGCAUUUUCACUUGUUUCAUGCAGUGCCCUGCACAGAUGCCCACUAUUUAAUGGUGAUCAUCUGAAUGAGGUAAAUCAAUUGUGUAAGUUACCAGUAAACCCAGUUUGCAGGGUGGAGAAUACUUUGGCUUUCCCAAUCCAUUAACCCAUUGGCAGAGUGAGAGUCUUCUGCAGAUCCACCACUCCCUACAGCAGUGAAUCUUGGUCAAAUCUGCUUAUAAAAGGGUUCAGGCAGGGAGAUGGAGGACCCAUCAAAGUCCAGCUCAGGGAGUUCCCAUUGUGGCACAGUGGUAACAAAUCCAACUAGUGUCCAUGAGGAUGUGGGUUCAGUCCCUGGCCUCGCUCAGUAGGUCCGGAAUCUGGCAUUGCUGUGAGCUGUGUUAUAUAGUUCACAGAUGCACCUUGGAUCCCGAGUUGCUGUGGCUAUGAUGUAGGCUGGUGGCUGUAGCUCUGAUUCAACUCCUAGCCUGGAAGCUUCCAGGUGCUGAGGAUGUAGACCCCCCAAACAAAAAAAGUCCAGCUCAGUAGAGUUUGGGGCCAUGCUGGCAUCUGGAUCACAGUCCCAAGGUCCCUAAAUGGCAGGUUAUUGAUCAAGGGCUUCCAGCAGCAAGCCUUUGGAAAUAAACUGAUUAAUAAUCUAUUUGUUUGCUUGUAAGGCUGGGGACAGUGUUUUUCAAGCUUUAGAUGCAUCGGUAUCUAUAGAGCUUGUUAAAACAGGCACACUGUCCCCACCUUGGAGUCUUGAGAGCUGAGACUUGGGAGUUUGUUUUUUUUUUUUUCAGCAGAUCCCCAAGCAAUUCUGCUGCACACACAUCUCAGAAUCUCUGGUGCUUUGAAUCAGGGACUCUGCAGUGUAAUGCACCCCACCCCCACCCUGGCCCCAUUUUUCUUUCAGGUGUGGUGGAUUGGACCCUGGCAAAGUGACUAAAACGGAACUACCCCUCCCAGAUCCCCUUCCCCAUAGCCCUGAGAGAGGGUUGGCCAAAGGAGGAACUUGCAUAAUAUCUGGAAGAUGAACGUGAAGUGGCGGCUGUUAUUCUCUGAAGGCAGUCAGGGUUAAGUGUGGGGACAGGCAGACACGAGGUACUAGGAUCCAGCUUGUCCUCGCUGUCCUCCACUUCACAUCCAGCUCCUCCCUGAGCACUGACUCUAGAACCAACAGCAGCCUGAGACCCUCCCUCAGAUGCUUGGUGGAAGAUCCCCCGAGGAGGGACCCCACAGGACACAGCCCCUCCCCACCCUGUGAAGACCUCAGUGGUGGGGUCUACUUAGCUUGUCUGACUGGCUGCUUGGUGGAACCUUCUCUGACUCUCCAGUUCCUCCCAAGCCUUCACUUCCCCAGCGCCUCAGGUCAGAUCUAAUUCCUUUAACAAAUCCCUUAUCCCAGAACUCACAGGGGCUCCUGCUCCCCUGGGUGAGCCCUGACUGACCAGUCAAGAAACACUUUCCAUGUCAAAAUAAAAUGGGAAUUGGCCUUCCAUUUAGGUCCAAAGGAAUGUCCAUGGGCUAUGAAGGUGUGUAGACAACAUGACAACAUGAAAGCAGUUACCAAAGAAACUCAGUCGCUCCUAACUUCCAUGAUAACAGGGUAAUUGAAAAAUAUGAUUCCCCCAGAUUCUCUGAUGGCACAUAUGAAAAAGGUUCCCCCUUUGGGAAGUAUCAGUAAAAGUCACCCCUUUCUCCCUCCUGUUUUCCCCUUUAAUGGGGUGCCCCUGUGCAGGCUAUAACCUGUGUAAAUGUACAUAGCAGCCCCAGGUAACUAUUCUGUCCAUUAAUGCAAGGGGCCCUGAGUCCAGCCUCUAACUGCUUUCCUAGUAUCAUCAAACACAGACAGGUUGCAAAACAGUCCCACCAAAAUGUUUCAGGGAAGAACAGAACUUCCUUGGUGCCUUGUACAAGCUUCUCUGUACCCCCAAUGCCAUGGGCAGCUGUCCCUUCUUGCAAUUCAUAUCAACAAGCUCUGUCGGAUCCUGCAAUUCCCUCACCACAGCCCUGACUGCGCUGUAGUGUUACUGUUUAUUUGACAUCUGCCUUAUCCACUAGACAGUGAGCUCCCUGAGGACAGAUCUCUGAUUGGGUUGCCUUUAGAUCCCCAGUGACCAGUAUAGUACUUGGCAUAGAAGAGCAUGCAAUAAAUAUUCGUGGAAUGAGUUAAUGGAUCAAGCAGAGCUAAAGGAAAUUCCUGUUUCCCUCAAUUCUUCAGACUUCUGAUAUCAGACAUGUGGGUUUUUCCACACCCAGCAAUUCUCCAAUUCCCAGUGGACACCAACUGGGUGGGUAACUUGUAAUUUAACUCAAUUCUGACACUAAUUGCUGAAUUAGCACAGACCUCACCCGUCACAGGCUUAGUCCCACAAGAUUGGCUCUCAAUUCAAAUGUCAGUCCCAAGUCCCAACUUGUCACCUGUGCUUCUGACCAACCAGCUAUGAAUUGGGGGUUCCUGUGGCUCCCUCCUCAGCUUUGAGAAUUUGUUAGAACACUCAGAGAACUUACUUAUAUGUACCGGUUUACUAUAAAGGAUAUAACAAAGGAUGCAGAUGAAGAGACAUAGGCUGAGGUCUGGAAGAGGCCCAAGUUCAGGAGCUUUUGCCCCCAUGGAGUUGGAGGGCAUCACCCUCCCAGCCCAUGGAUGUGUUCACCAACUUGGAAGCCCUCCAGUCUGUGGUUUAGGGAUUUUUAGGAGGCUUCGUCAUGGAGACAUGAUCCAUUAUUAACUGGUCUCCAAUCUCUCUACCUCCCCAGAGGAAUGGACAGCAGCACCGGAAAAGUCCAAGCUUCUAAUUUUGGCUUGAUUUUCGUAUUGAUUGGCCUCCAUCCUGAAGCCAUCCUGGAGCCCAGCAAGAGUCACCUCUUUAGAACAAAUGAUGCCCCUGUCACCUGGGAAAUUCCUAGGGAUUUAGCAGCUCUGUGUCAGACCAAAUAUAUAUUUCUUAUUAUGUCACUAAAAGUCACAUCUGGUUCUGGAGCUGUGAUUUUCCUAUCAGGCUAUAUCCUCAUUUGAAAGGGCCAGGAACCAGGAGCCAGAUAUUUGCCUCUCUUAGAAUAUGUGAUUCACACAGAGAGACAGGCCAGAUGCUGGGCUCCUUAGACCUUUCUGGCCUGAGGUCUUCACUGGUGCUUGGUGGAUCUUGGCUGAUCACAGGCUAUAUUCAGGUUAAUAAAUACAUGACAUAAGGGCCCCUUAUCCAUUCUCCAGUGUCCAAGAUCUCUAAUCUAUUAUGGCCUCCAAGUCUUCUCAACACCCUGGAUAGUUACUAAUAACUGAUCAGUGUUGCUACACUAGGCGGAAGCCAUGUCUCGCCCUGGAGCAGCCUCUGAGUCUCAAUGCCAUCUGGGCCAUCACAGGCAUCUUUAUUUUUGUUCACAGAAAGGCCAUUGCCAAAGAAUACCAAUGAGAAAAGUAAAAAUUGAGUCUUGAAUAAAUGACCCCACAUUUAUCCAACUUAAGUAACAAAUAAGCCAACCACAAAUAAUCACUUUUUCAAUCAGAUUAAAAAGGUAAAAAGAUGGCAUUGUUUGUAUGAUAUGGUGAAACUUUAAGAUGGUAAUUUGAGGGGAGUUCCCAUUGUGGCUCAGUGGUUAAUGAACCCACCUAGUGUCCAUGUGGACGCAGGUUUGAUCCCUGGCCUUGCUCACUGGGUUAAGGAUCCCGUGUGGCCAUGAGCUAUGGUGUAGGUUGCACACAUGCCUCGGCUCCCACGUUGUUGUGGCUGUGGUGAAGAUCAGCAGCUACAGCUCCGAUUUGACCCCUAGCUUGGGAAACUCCAUAUGCUG